GCUCAGGACGAACGCUGGCGGCGUGCUUCAUACAUGCAAGUCGAACGAGAAGCAAGAGCUUGCUCUUGUGGAAAGUGGCGGACGGGUGAGUAACACGUAGGGAAUCUGCCUUUAGGAUGGGGACAACAGUUGGAAACGACUGCUAAAACCCGAUAUGAGGUAAGUUGAAAUACUUAUCUUGAAAACUCCGGUGCCUAGAGAUGAGCCUGCGUCUGAUUAGCUGGUUGGCGGGGUAAAUGCCCACCAAGGCGACGAUCAGUAGCUGGUUUGAGAGGAUGAUCAGCCACAAUGGGACUGAGACACGGCCCAUACUCCUACGGGAGGCAGCAGUAGGGAAUUUUGCGCAAUGGGGGAAACCCUGACGCAGCAACGCCGCGUGAACGAAGAAGCCCUUCGGGGUGUAAAGUUCUGUCAGUAGGGAAGAAUUAAUGACUGUACCUACAGAGGAAGCACCGGCUAACUCCGUGCCAGCAGCCGCGGUAAUACGGAGGGUGCAAGCGUUGUCCGGAAUCAUUGGGCGUAAAGCGUUCGUAGGCGGCAUAUCAAGUCUGGUGUUAAAGCCCGGGGCUUAACUCCGGUAGGGCACUGGAUACUGGUAAGCUGGAAUGAGGUAGAGGUAAUGGGAAUUCCUGGUGUAGCGGUGAAAUGCGUAGAUAUCAGGAGGAACAUCGGUGGCGUAAGCGCAUUACUGGGCCUUAAUUGACGCUGAGGAACGAAAGCCGGGGGAGCAAAUGGGAUUAGAUACCCCAGUAGUCCCGGCCGUAAACGAUGGAUACUAGGUGUUGUGGGUAUCGACCCCUACAGUGCCGCAGCCAACGCGAUAAGUAUCCCGCCUGGGGAGUACGCACGCAAGUGUGAAACUCAAAGGAAUUGACGGGGACCCGCACAAGCGGUGGAACAUGUGGUUUAAUUCGAAGCAACGCGAAGAACCUUACCAGGGCUUGACAUCGAUAGAAUCCUGAUGAAAGUCGGGAGUGCCUCCUUCGGGAGGAGCUAGAAGACAGGUGGUGCACGGUUGUCGUCAGCUCGUGUCGUGAGAUGUUGGGUUAAGUCCCGCAACGAGCGCAACCCUCGUUAUUAGUUGCUGAUGUUGGUACACUGACAUUGAGCUCUCUAAUAAGACUGCCGGUGAUAAACCGGAGGAAGGUGAGGACGACGUCAAAUCAUCAUGCCCCUUAUGCUCUGGGCUACACACGUGUUACAAUGGCUAAGAACAACGAGCAGCCAACUCGCGAGAGUGAGCGAAUCUCUAAAAAUUAGUCUCAGUUCGGAUUGCACUCUGCAACUCGAGUGCAUGAAGUCGGAAUCGCUAGUAAACGCAGAUCAGCACGCUGCGUUGAAUACGUUCCCGGGUCUUGCACACACCGCCCGUCA
rnacentral:rRNA from 1 species